UCUGGGUUUAUCCCAGCGGUCUCCCUAGAGAUUUCAACUAAGGACAAGGGUUGCGCUCGUUGCGGGACUUAACCCAACACCUCACGGCACGAGCUGACGACAGCCAUGCAGCAUCUGUGCAUGCUCUCUUGCGAGUCCCUCAGGUUUCCCUUCAGUACCACAUGCAUGUCAAGCCGAGGUAAGGUUCUGCGCGUUGCAUCGAAUUAAACCACAUGCUCCACCGCUUGUGCAGGCCCCCGUCAAUUUCUUUGAGUUUUAAUCUUGCGAUCGUACUCCCCAGGCGGAAUGCUUAAUGCGUUAGCUGCGCCACCGAAGAGCAAGCUCCCCAACGGCUGGCAUUCAUCGUUUACGGCGUGGACUAC
rnacentral:misc_RNA from 1 species